rnacentral:rRNA from 1 species
AAUCCAUAGGUUAAUGAGGCGAACCGGGGGAACUGAAACAUCUAAGUACCCCGAGGAAAAGAAAUCAACCGAGAUUCCCCCAGUAGCGGCGAGCGAACGGGGAGGAGCCCAGAGCCUGAAUCAGCAUGUGUGUUAGUGGAAGCGUCUGGAAAGGCGCGCGAUACAGGGUGACAGCCCCGUACACAAAAGCGCAUGUGCUGUGAGCUCGAUGAGUAGGGCGGGACACGUGGUAUCCUGUCUGAAUAUGGGGGGACCAUCCUCCAAGGCUAAAUACUCCUGACUGACCGAUAGUGAACCAGUACCGUGAGGGAAAGGCGAAAAGAACCCCGGCGAGGGGAGUGAAAAAGAACCUGAAACCGUGUACGUACAAGCAGUGGGAGCACAGGUUUACCUGUGUGACUGCGUACCUUUUGUAUAAUGGGUCAGCGACUUAUAUUCUGUAGCAAGGUUAACCGUAUAGGGGAGCCGCAGGGAAACC